UACGUAGGGACCGAGCGUUGUCCGGAUUUAUUGGGCGUAAAGAGCGUGUAGGCGGCCAGACAAGUCCGUUGUGAAAACUAGAGGCUUAACCUCUAGACGUCGAUGAAACUGUUUGGCUAGAGUCCGGAAGAGGAGAAUGGAAUUCCUGGUGUAGCGGUGAAAUGCGCAGAUAUCAGGAAGAACACCCGUGGCGAAGGCGGCUCUCUGGUACGUGACUGACGC
rnacentral:rRNA from 1 species